AUAUGUAUAGUGUAUGUUGCACAUUAAGUUUUGAUCUUUAUAGGUAUGGUUAAAUUCCAUUUACAUAUA
rnacentral:tRNA from 1 species